rnacentral:misc_RNA from 1 species
GAGCUGUGUACCUGUGGACUCUGCCCAUGUUCCAUUGUAAUGGUUGGUGUUACACUUGGGCAAUGGCUGCGAUGUGUGGAACCAACAUAUGUCUUCGCCAGGUGAGUUCAAAGGCGAUAUACUCUGGCAUAGUGAACCAUGGAGUGACACACAUGUGCGCCGCGCCGGUCGUCUUCAACAACCUCAUCAACGCUCCGGCGAGCGAGACCUUC